rnacentral:rRNA from 1 species
AGCUACAGGCUUAACACAUGCAAGUCGAGGGGCAUCAGGAAGAAAGCUUGCUUUCUUUGCUGGCGACCGGCGCACGGGUGAGUAACACGUAUCCAACCUGCCCUUUACUCGGGGAUAGCCUUUCGAAAGAAAGAUUAAUACCCGAUAGCAUAAUGAUUCCGCAUGGUUUCAUUAUUAAAGGAUUCCGGUAAAGGAUGGGGAUGCGUUCCAUUAGGUUGUUGGUGAGGUAACGGCUCACCAAGCCUUCGAUGGAUAGGGGUUCUGAGAGGAAGGUCCCCCACAUUGGAACUGAGACACGGUCCAAACUCCUACGGGAGGCAGCAGUGAGGAAUAUUGGUCAAUGGGCGCUAGCCUGAACCAGCCAAGUAGCGUGAAGGAUGAAGGCUCUAUGGGUCGUAAACUUCUUUUAUAUAAGAAUAAAGUGCAGUAUGUAUACUGUUUUGUAUGUAUUAUAUGAAUAAGGAUCGGCUAACUCCGUGCCAGCAGCCGCGGUAAUACGGAGGAUCCGAGCGUUAUCCGGAUUUAUUGGGUUUAAAGGGAGCGUAGGUGGACUGGUAAGUCAGUUGUGAAAGUUUGCGGCUCAACCGUAAAAUUGCAGUUGAUACUGUCAGUCUUGAGUACAGUAGAGGUGGGCGGAAUUCGUGGUGUAGCGGUGAAAUGCUUAGAUAUCACGAAGAACUCCGAUUGCGAAGGCAGCUCACUGGACUGCAACUGACACUGAUGCUCGAAAGUGUGGGUAUCAAACAGGAUUAGAUACCCUGGUAGUCCACACAGUAAACGAUGAAUACUCGCUGUUUGCGAUAUACAGUAAGCGGCCAAGCGAAAGCAUUAAGUAUUCCACCUGGGGAGUACGCCGGCAACGGUGAAACUCAAAGGAAUUGACGGGGGCCCGCACAAGCGGAGGAACAUGUGGUUUAAUUCGAUGAUACGCGAGGAACCUUACCCGGGCUUAAAUUGCAGUGGAAUGAUGUGGAAACAUGUCAGUGAGCAAUCACCGCUGUGAAGGUGCUGCAUGGUUGUCGUCAGCUCGUGCCGUGAGGUGUCGGCUUAAGUGCCAUAACGAGCGCAACCCUUAUCUUCAGUUACUAACAGGUCAUGCUGAGGACUCUGGAGAGACUGCCGUCGUAAGAUGUGAGGAAGGUGGGGAUGACGUCAAAUCAGCACGGCCCUUACGUCCGGGGCUACACACGUGUUACAAUGGGGGGUACAGAAGGCAGCUAGCGGGUGACCGUAUGCUAAUCCCAAAAGCCUCUCUCAGUUCGGAUCGAAGUCUGCAACCCGACUUCGUGAAGCUGGAUUCGCUAGUAAUCGCGCAUCAGCCACGGCGCGGUGAAUACGUUCCCGGGCCUUGUACACACCGCCCGUCAAGCCAUGGGAGCCGGGGGUACCUGAAGUACGUAACCGCAAGGAUCGUCCUAGGGUAAAACUGGUGACUGGGGCUAAGUCAUAACAAG